CCUACGGGCGGCAGCCGUAGGGAAUAUUGCUCAAUGGGGGAAACCCUGAAGCAGCAACGCCGCGUGGAGGAUGAAGGUUUUCGGAUUGUAAACUCCUUUUGUUAGAGAAGAUAAUUACGGUAUCUAACGAAUAAGCACCGGCUAACUCCGUGCCAGCAGCCGCGGUAAUACGGAGGGUGCAAGCGUUACUCGGAAUCACUGGGCGUAAAGAGCGCGUAGGCGGGAUAGCAAGUCAGAUGUGAAAUCCUAGGGCUUAACCAUAGACCUGAAUUUGAAACUGUUAUUCUAGAGUAUGGGAGAGGUAGGUGGAAUUCUUGGUGUAGGGGUAAAAUCCGUAGAGAUCAAGAGGAAUACUCAUUGCGAAGGCGACCUGCUAGAACAUAACUGACGCUGAUGCGCGAAAGCGUGGGGAGCAAACAGGAUUAGAUACCCCAGUAGUC
rnacentral:rRNA from 1 species